GACGAACGCUGGCGGCGUGCCUAAUACAUGCAAGUAGAACGCUGAAGAGAGGAGCUUGCUCUUCUUGGAUGAGUUGCGAACGGGUGAGUAACGCGUAGGUAACCUGCCUGGUAGCGGGGGAUAACUAUUGGAAACGAUAGCUAAUACCGCAUAAAAUUGAUUAUUGCAUGAUAAUUAAUUGAAAGAUGCAAUUGCAUCACUACCAGAUGGACCUGCGUUGUAUUAGCUAGUUGGUGAGGUAACGGCUCACCAAGGCGACGAUACAUAGCCGACCUGAGAGGGUGAUCGGCCACACUGGGACUGAGACACGGCCCAGACUCCUACGGGAGGCAGCAGUAGGGAAUCUUCGGCAAUGGGGGGAACCCUGACCGAGCAACGCCGCGUGAGUGAAGAAGGUUUUCGGAUCGUAAAGCUCUGUUGUAAGAGAAGAACGGGUGUGAGAGUGGAAAGUUCACACUGUGACGGUAUCUUACCAGAAAGGGACGGCUAACUACGUGCCAGCAGCCGCGGUAAUACGUAGGUCCCGAGCGUUGUCCGGAUUUAUUGGGCGUAAAGCGAGCGCAGGCGGUUAGAUAAGUCUGAAGUUAAAGGCUGUGGCUUAACCAUAGUAUGCUUUGGAAACUGUUUAACUUGAGUGCAGAAGGGGAGAGUGGAAUUCCAUGUGUAGCGGUGAAAUGCGUAGAUAUAUGGAGGAACACCGGUGGCGAAAGCGGCUCUCUGGUCUGUAACUGACGCUGAGGCUCGAAAGCGUGGGGAGCAAACAGG
rnacentral:rRNA from 1 species